rnacentral:rRNA from 1 species
AUGAAUAUCUCCUUCCCUAAUCCAAGAUUGGAGAAAGAAGAUCUAAGAGGGACCUACGGAGAAUGUAGUCACAAAUCCAUAAUAGAGUCUGACCAGAAUGACCGAAUUAAUUAUCCUCAUCGAGAAACUUAG